rnacentral:rRNA from 1 species
GACGAACGCUGGCGGCGUGCUUAACACAUGCAAGUCGAACGGAAAGGCCCUGCUUUUUUGGGGUGCUCGAGUUGCGAACGGGUGAGUAACACUUGAGUAACCUGCCCUUGACUUUGGGAUAACUUCAGGAAACUGGGGCUAAUACCGGCUAGGAGCUCCUGCUGCAUGGUGGGGGUUGGAAAGUUUCGGCGGUUGGUGAUGGACUCGCGGCUUAUCAGCUUGUUGGUGGGGUAGUGGCUUACCAAGGCUUUGACGGGUAGCCGGCCUGAGAGGGUGAGCGGCCACAUUGGGACUGAGAUAAGGCACAGACUCCUACGGGAGGCAGCAGUGGGGAAUAGUGCACAAUGGGCGGAAGCCUGAUGCAGCAACGCCGCGUGCGGGAUGACGGCAUUCGGGUUGGAAACCGCUUUCGCCUGUGACGAAGCGUGAGUGACGGUAAUGGGUAAAGAAGCACCGGCUAACUACGUG